rnacentral:rRNA from 1 species
AUUGAACGCUGGCGGCAUGCCUUACACAUGCAAGUCGAACGGCAGCACGGGUGCUUGCACCUGGUGGCGAGUGGCGAACGGGUGAGUAAUACAUCGGAACAUGUCCUGUAGUGGGGGAUAGCCCGGCGAAAGCCGGAUUAAUACCGCAUACGAUCCACGGAUGAAAGCGGGGGACCUUCGGGCCUCGCGCUAUAGGGUUGGCCGAUGGCUGAUUAGCUAGUUGGUGGGGUAAAGGCCUACCAAGGCGACGAUCAGUAGCUGGUCUGAGAGGACGACCAGCCACACUGGAACUGGGACACGGCCCAGACUCCUACGGGAGGCAGCAGUGGGGAAUUUUGGACAAUGGGCGAAAGCCUGAUCCAGCAAUGCCGCGUGUGUGAAGAAGGCCUUCGGGUUGUAAAGCACUUUUGUCCGGAAAGAAAUCCUUGGCUCUAAUACAGUCGGGGGAUGACGGUACCGGAAGAAUAAGCACCGGCUAACUACGUG